rnacentral:rRNA from 1 species
CUACGGGUUGCAGCAGUCGAGAAGCUUCGGCAAUGGACGAAAGUCUGACCGAGCGACGCCGCGUGAGUGAAGAAGGUCUUCGGAUCGUAAAACUCUGUCAGGGGGGAAGAAACACGGAUUGGCUAAUACCCUUUCCGCUUGACGGUACCCCCAGAGGAAGCUCCGGCUAACUCCGUGCCAGCAGCCGCGGUAAUACGGAGGGAGCAAACGUUGUUCGGAAUCACUGGGCGUAAAGGGCUCGUAGGCGGCUUCCUAAGGCAGUGGUGAAAACCUGUGGCUCAACCACAGGCCUGCCCCUGAACUGGGAAGCUUGAGGCUGUGAGGGGAGAGGGGAAUUCCUGGUAUAUCGGUGAAAUGAGUUGAUAUCAGGAGGAACACCCGUGGCGAAGGCGCCUCUCUGGCACAGUACUGACGCUGAGGAGCGAAAGCGUGGGGAGCAAACAGGAUUAGAUACCCUCGUAGUC